rnacentral:rRNA from 1 species
ACCGUAGCUUGCUACACCAUAGACUGUGAGUUGCGAACGGGUGAGUAACGCGUAGGUAACCUGCCUAUUAGAGGGGGAUAACUAUUGGAAACGAUAGCUAAUACCGCAUAACAGUAUGUAACACAUGUUAGAUGCUUGAAAGAUGCAAUUGCAUCGCUAGUAGAUGGACCUGCGUUGUAUUAGCUAGUAGGUAGGGUAAAGGCCUACCUAGGCAACGAUACAUAGCCGACCUGAGAGGGUGAUCGGCCACACUGGGACUGAGACACGGCCCAGACUCCUACGGGAGGCAGCAGUAGGGAAUCUUCGGCAAUGGGGGGAACCCUGACCGAGCAACGCCGCGUGAGUGAAGAAGGUUUUCGGAUCGUAAAGCUCUGUUGUUAAGGAAGAACGAGUGUGAGAAUGGAAAGUUCAUGCUGUGACGGUACUUAACCAGAAAGGGACGGCUAACUACGUGCCAGCAGCCGCGGUAAUACGUAGGUCCCGAGCGUUGUCCGGAUUUAUUGGGCGUAAAGCGAGCGCAGGCGGUUAGAAAAGUCUGAAGUGAAAGGCAGUGGCUCAACCAUUGUAGGCUUUGGAAACUGUUUAACUUGAGUGCAGAAGGGGAGAGUGGAAUUCCAUGUGUAGCGGUGAAAUGCGUAGAU